rnacentral:rRNA from 1 species
UACGUAGGGGGCUAGCGUUAUCCGGAAUUACUGGGCGUAAAGGGUGCGUAGGUGGUUUCUUAAGUCAGAGGUGAAAGGCUACGGCUCAACCGUAGUAAGCCUUUGAAACUGGGAAACUUGAGUGCAGAAGAGGGAAGUGGAAUUCCAUGUGUAGCGGUGAAAUGCGUAGAGAUAUGGAGGAACACCAGUGGCGAAGGCGGCUUCCUGGUCUGUAACUGACACUGAGGCGCGAAAGCGUGGGGAGCAAACAGGAUUAGAUACCCGCGUAGUCCCUGAGCGGG